UGCUUCCAGAUAUAAAAAUUAAAGCGUUCAUAGUAUUUAGUUUGAGUUUUGGGAAUAAUAAGCAUAUUACAAGACAUUUGUGUGGGUGUGCUAGAACUUACAUUGAGAUAUUGCGGACAAGUCAUUUGGUGAAAUGUUUUACUAUUAACUAAAAUUGCUUUUCUGUACACAACUCUAUAUGAAAUGGACAUCAAGAGAAAAUCUCCAAAAAGUAUGUAUGACGAUGUCAU
rnacentral:lncRNA from 1 species